CUACGGGCGGCACCAGCAAGGAAUUUUGUGCAAUGGGCGAAAGCCUGACACAGCGACGCCGCGUGGGGGAUGAAGGCUUUCGGGUUGUAAACCCCUUUUCUCAGGGAUGAAUAAUAACAGUACCUGAGGAAUAAGCCAUGGCUAACUACGUGCCAGCAGCAGCGGUAAAACGUGGGUGGCAAGCGUUAUCCGGAUUUAUUGGGCGUAAAGAGGGCGCAGGCGGCUUUUCAAGUCGGAUGUAAAAUCUCUCAGCUUAACUGAGAGGGACCAUUCGAUACUGCUAGGCUAGAGCGCAACAGGGGGAGGCAGAAUUCCCGGUGUAGUGGUGAAAUGCGUAGAUAUCGGGAGGAAUACCAGUGGCGAAGGCGGCCUCCUGGGUUGUUGCUGACGCUUAUGCCCGAAGGCGUGGGGAGCAAACAGGAUUAGAUACCCCCGUAGUC
rnacentral:rRNA from 1 species